rnacentral:rRNA from 1 species
UACGGAGGGGACUAGCGUUGUUCGGAAUUACUGGGCGUAAAGCGCACGUAGGCGGAUUUGUAAGUCAGGGGUGAAAUCCCGGGGCUCAACCCCGGAACUGCCUUUGGUACUGCGAAUCUCGAGUCCGGAAGAGGUGAGUGGAAUUCCUAGUGUAGAGGUGAAAUUCGUAGAUAUUAGGAAGAACACCAGUGGCGAAGGCGGCUCACUGGUCCGGUACUGACGCUGAGGUGCGAAAGCGUGGGGAGCAAACAGG